CUGGUCUAGAGUGAGACAUUAUGCUGGACAUCACAACAUCUGUCAGAUGGCAGGCCACAUCUAUUCCAAGGUUUGUGCUACUACUUUCCCCGAAGUCAAUUUAGUUUGAUGGAUUCUGCUGUGUUUAACCUGAAGUCAUAUAAUGGAUGAUUACCUCUCUCGGAAGAUGCUUUUUUUUCUUAUAGGUAGUGGUGUCUAAAGUUGUUGUUUUGCCAUGUACUUUAUAUUAUUGUUUUUAACUUUUCAUAAAGAAUGUUAAAGGGACACUGCACUGCCUAAAUACCCACAAAAUAUAAAUAAAAUAACUAUUUAGUAGAUACA